GGCUUAGAGUUUGAUCAUGGCUCAGGACGAACGCUGGCGGCGUGCUUAACACAUGCAAGUCGAACGGACCCCGGCAACGGGGUUAGUGGCGGACGGGUGAGUAACACGUGAGCAACCUGCCCUGUACAACGGGAUAACACAGAGAAAUUUGUGCUAAUACGGUAUAAGACCACACGGAGGCAUCUCUGAGGGGUAAAAGCUGAGGCGGUACAGGAGGGGCUCGCGGCCCAUUAGAUAGUUGGUGAGGUAACGGCCCACCAAGUCGACGAUGGGUAGCCGACCUGAGAGGGUGAUCGGCCACAUUGGAACUGAGAUACGGUCCAAACUCCUACGGGAGGCAGCAGUGGGGAAUAUUGGGCAAUGGAGGCAACUCUGACCCAGCAACGCCGCGUGAAUGAAGAAGGCCUUCGGGUUGUAAAGUUCUUUAAUGGGGAACGAAGAAAGUGACGGUACCCCAAGAAUAAGCCACGGCUAACUACGUGCCAGCAGCCGCGGUAAUACGUAGGUGGCAAGCGUUGUCCGGAAUGAAGCC
rnacentral:rRNA from 1 species